UACGAAGGGGGCUAGCGUUGCUCGGAAUCACUGGGCGUAAAGCGCACGUAGGCGGGUCUUUAAGUCAGGGGUGAAAUCCCGGAGCUCAACUCCGGAACUGCCUUUGAUACUGAGGAUCUUGAGUUCGAGAGAGGUGAGUGGAACUGCGAGUGUAGAGGUGAAAUUCGUAGAUAUUCGCAAGAACACCAGUGGCGAAGGCGCUCACUGGCUCGAUACUGACGCUGAGGUGCGAAAGCCAGGGGAGCGAACGGG
rnacentral:rRNA from 1 species